rnacentral:lncRNA from 1 species
GAGAUAAAAUUUUCAGAUUAAAAUAGGAUGGAAUCAAUCCAUCCUCAAAACUUCACCUCUAACCUCUCAAUUCUCUUAAGGUUCUUUUCCCUUAACACUUCCCCUUCUCCUGACAGUCCUCUUUUUUCAUUCCAUUAUCUAAUACUUAGUUUCUAACAGAAUUUAAUUACAUACCAAAAGUUCUAAUAUCUACCCAUUAACGAGUAAUUAAGAUCAACCAUAUAAUAAAAUAAGAUGCUUAAUCAUACCUGCUCGGAUGAAGAGUUUUCCCACAGCAGCAGUCACAACCACCAAAGCAACAACGGGGAAAAAGAAGAGAAAGAAGGGAAGAGGAGGA